rnacentral:rRNA from 1 species
GACGAACGCUGGCGGCGUGCUUAACACAUGCAAGUGGAGCGACGAACCGGGGCUUGCCCCGGGGCAGAGCCGCGAACGGGUGAGUAACACGUGGGUAACCUACCUCGAUGACCGGGACAACCCGAGGAAACUCGGGCUAAUACCGGAUGUGCUCCUUUGACAUCAGUCUUUGGAGGAAAGAUAGCUUUGGCCUUCGCAUCGAGAUGGGCCCGCGGCGCAUUAGCUUGUUGGUGGGGUAACGGCCUACCAAGGCUUCGAUGCGUAGCUGGUCUGAGAGGACGAUCAGCCACACUGGGACUGAGACACGGCCCAGACUCCUACGGGAGGCAGCAGUGGGGAAUCUUGCACAAUGCGCGAAAGCGUGAUGCAGCAACGCCGCGUGGGGGAAGAAGGCCUUCGGGUUGUAAACCCCUUUCAGUUGGGACGAAGCUUCGACGGUGAAUAGCCGGCUGGAGUGACGGUACCUUCAGAAGAAGCCCCGGCUAACUACGUGCCAGCCGCCGCCGUAAUAC